AACUCUUGCCUGUUGGCUUCUGCUCUCUGCUGCUACUGCUACAGGCAGUAAGAGUGCUUAGGGACGUCUACAAAUUAACACAAAUAAACACCAAAAAGAGACACAACAAACAUAUUUAUUCAGUUAGUGAUUAAAUAAGGUAUUGCCUCCAAACUUAAACUCAUCAAUUAUAACAUGUCUCUUGCUAGUUGUACUACAGCACUUAUUUA